UCCAGACUCCUACGGGAGGCAGCAGUGGGGGAUAUUGCACAAUGGGGGAAACCCUGAUGCAGCGACGCCGCGUGGGCGAAGAAGUAUUUCGGUAUGUAAAGCCCUCUCAGCAGGGAAGAAGAAAUGACGGUACCUGAGUAAGAAGCACCGGCUAAAUACGUGCCAGCAGCCGCGGUAAUACGUAUGGUGCAAGCGUUAUCCGGAUUUACUGGGUGUAAAGGGAGCGCAGGCGGCGCGUUAAGCCUGGUGUGAAAGCCCGCGGCCCAACCGCGGGACUGCAUUGGGAACUGGCGCGCUGGAGUGCCGGAGGGGUAGGCGGAAUUCCUAGUGUAGCGGUGAAAUGCGUAGAUAUUAGGAGGAACACCAGUGGCGAAGGCGGCUUACUGGACGGCAACUGACGCUGAGGCUCGAAAGCGUGGGGAGCAAACAGGAUUAGAUACCCCAGUAU
rnacentral:rRNA from 1 species